GGAGUAAAAGUGUAACAAGGCCUCCGUAGGUGAACCUGCGGAGGGAUCAUUACAGAGUUCGUGCCCUCACGGGUAGAUCUCCCACCCUGUGUUAUUAUACCUUUGUUGCUUUGGCGGGCCGCCCUCGGCUACCGGCCCCGGCUGGUACGCGCCCGCCAGAGGACCCCAAACUCUGAAUGUUAGUGUCGUCUGAGUACUAUACAAUAGUUAAAACUUUCAACAACGGAUCUCUUGGUUCUG
rnacentral:misc_RNA from 1 species